GGGAAACAAAGUGUAUUAAUAUACAACUAGAAGAGCAGUUCUCAACAGUCUCUCCCAACUGAGAAAGCAGGUUGGGAGAUGAUGUUGACACUCCUCUGGGCUUUCUCCAGUAAUGAGUCAUUGCCAGCUGGCUAAGAGAGCUUGGCCACUCCAGUGAACAGUUCUUUCAAGAUAGAAGCACUAUAUGAAGGACAACCGGGAAAAUUUUUCAUUACUAGUUCCUGCUAGAGUUCUGACUGGACCCAGAAUCAAAACACUUCCAGUGAAGGAGGCUGAAGGCCAUGGGUAGCUAUGUGGGCUUCUGGCCUGGCAUGAGGCGACACCACUAUGAGGUCUGCCAAGGUUCAGGGUCAAAGCAACCUCAAUGCCUCAUCCCAUGGCAUAUGCUUGGAGCCUAUUCUUCCUGGUAACAGCAAGCUAAGAAUUCGACUCAGGAGACCACGGUGCUUGGUCUGGUGACUUUCCCCUGAAGAACAGCCUCAGAGAUAUUUCUUGCUUUUGAGAAGAAGAAAUAUGGUCCUGAUAAAUCUCAAGAGGAUCACAUCCCAGUGAAUUAGCAGGAGCUGUGGGAAUGAGAAUGAGUGGGUGCCCAGCAAUGGUCCCAAUAAAACAGGAAUAAACAAGGAUUGAA